CUUGGGGAGGGAGAGAGGAGGCAAAGUAACCUCUGUAACUGCCUCUAGAGAAGACGUCGGGGGAUUUUACUUGGGGUCAGAGAGGAACAAAGCAAGUAGUGCGGUGAACCCCUGCAGAAGUCACGGCAGCUCGCUGGGCCCCAUUCUGAGUUGUCAGAAGGCAUUGAUCUCGGCCUUGCCUCUGUGGGAGGUCCUGGGUUCGAUUCCCAGCAACCACAUGGUGGCUCACAACUAUCUGUAAUGGGAUCGAUGCCCUAUUCUGGUGGGUGUGAAGACAGCUACGGUGUACUCAUAUACAUAAAACAAACAAAUAAGAAGAAGAAGAAGGAGGAGGAGGAGGGAGAAGAAGAGAAGGAGGAGGAAGAGGAGAAGAAGAAGAAGAGGAAGAAGAAGAAGAGGAAGAAGAGGAGGAGGAGGAGGAGGAAGAAGAAGAAGAAAAGGAAACACAUUUCAUACAGAAGAACUAGCUGGGGCCUAGGCCAUAUCUCGCUGCCACUGCAGAUGGCACAGAGGCAGCUCCCACUCCCUCUGCUCCCUAAUUGGCUUUCUUUAGACCUUCUGCAGCUCACACACAGGACUCCGUUCUGCACUGAAUGGGUGAGCAACUUUCCUUGGUGAUACUGUGCUGCCAUGAUUGCCUCCUCCCUCAGUCUGGGAGCCUCCUGCAGUUAGAGCUGUUCUCUUAAACUUAAAGUGCUGGGGAGGAACAGCUAGAUAUCUGGUCAGGGAACUGAUUUCAGUGGCACAUCAUCCUGCAGAGCACAGCAGACCUCAAACUUGGUUUUAGCAUCAAAGUCCUUUCAUCGAGUAAAACAUGCAUUGUUGGAAACUCAAAGCAGACUCUCUUAGAAAAAUGGAUCUGCAGGUUGAAACAGGGUGCAUGUGUGUAGAGCGCGCACAGAGUUCCAACGAUUUCUUCUUCCUCUGGCUCCCUUUGGGGUGCCUUGGACAGGAACAAAAACUACCUGUGAAAAACUUGAAUGUAAUAUUUCCCAAAACACAUGGGACAUUUUCAUAACUAUGUGUCCUGUGACAAAGGGGUUUUGUGGUCAAAUAAGUUUGAGAGAUAGCAAAACAAUCAAACUGACCUAGGUCUCCUCAGGGGUUCUUGAAGACGCCAGGGUUUACGGUGUCCUGAGAGUCCUCAAGAGGGGACUGAUGUAUCAGGAUGGAAAACACUCAUUAAAGUAAUGGCCAUCCCCAUGGCUAGUGCUGAGCAGCGAAUGGUUAUGGAUAGCACUUUAUUAGAGAAAAACAAUCAUAUGCUAUCUGUGGUGGUUUGAAUAUGCUUGGCCCAGGGAAUAGCACUAUUUGGAGGUGUGACCUUAUUGGAAUAAGUAUGGCCUUGUUGGAGAAAGUGUGUCAUUGUGGACAUGGCCUUUAAGAUCCUCGUCCUAGCUGCCUGGAAGCCAGUCUUCUUCUAUUUGCUUUUGGAACAAGAUGCAGAACUCUCAGUUCCUCCAGCACCGUAUCUUCCUGGAUGCUGCCAUGCUCCCACCUUGAUGAUCAUGGACUGAGCCUCUGAACCCGUAAACCAGCCCCAAUUAAAUGUCCUUUGUAAGA
ensembl:lncRNA